CACGUAGGCUGCUUGGUAAGUCAGGGGUGAAAGCCCGUGGCUCAACCGCGGAAUUGCCUUUGAUACUGCCGAGCUUGAGUCCGGGAGAGGGUAGUGGAAUUCCAGGUGUAGGAGUGAAAUCCGUAGAUAUCUGGAGGAACAUCAGUGGCGAAGGCGACUACCUGGACCGGUACUGACGCUGAGGUGCGAAAGCGUGGGGAAGCAAACA
rnacentral:rRNA from 1 species